AAUAUUAUUACAAAAUCCCGACGUAUAAUCUUGGAGAUAUGGUCCAUAAGUUUCUACCAAACUACCGUAAAUGGUUUGACUACGAGAGGGGUUUGAGACCUG
rnacentral:ncRNA from 2 species